AAUCCCUGAGGCAGAGCAGGGCGUGAGCAGGCAGGCCAGGGCCGGGGGCCCUGCACGCCGGCGGCACCCCCAGCGGGCAGUGCCUCCCCGUGCCUGUCCGUCUGUCUUGUGACUGCGGGUCCCUGUCCAGGCCUUGUUGCUCUCUGCCUUCUGCCUCGCUCUGUGUGCCCUUCUCCCCCGCGCCGUCCCUCCCGCAGCGGACGCCAUCAGGACUGGACGAAGCUGUGGAGGGAGUACUCGCCGUCGGACAGCAGGUACAGGCUGGCCAGCUGCGUGUUGCUGUAACCUGAAGUGACAGGUGAGGUCCUCACAGUGACGAUGCAGCUGGCCCUCCCCCACGGGACCACAGCUGGGUGCCACAGGGAAUGAGCACAAACGCCACCCGCCAGACGACUGCUCACCACACGCUGGCAGGCGGCUGCAGAGGGAGCCGGCCAUGGGGGGCGCACGCAGUCCCAGGGCUACACAGACGUCCAGCAGCUGUCCAGUUCCUAUCUCUGAGGCACCGGUUUUCCUGGCAAUGUCCUCCGCACGCAGGGGGCCUUCAUCUCUCAGUAAGUCGAACACCUUCAUGUUGCAAGCUGUGACCAGGACCUGUGCGGGAGCGGCAGCUGCAGUUAGACUUGGCAUGUGGCUCAUCGAGAGCUCUUCACCCCCACAAAGUGCAAAGUGGGAGGUCCGAACAGGCCAGAUCGUGCCAGUUGUCAGUGGGACUCUCUUCCCCACGGAGGAGAGGGUUGAGCCACUAGCUGGUACCCAUCCUGCACCAGGUGUUUGUUGGCAAUCAGUGCCUACCCACCAGGGAGGCUGUCCGUGGGAGAAAACCCACAUGCAGCUGCAAUGGGCUGCAACCGGCUGAGUCGGGACCACCGAGACCCAGCCGGUGAAGCCCCGAGAGCAGCAGCUCCAAAUGGGACUCGGCCUGGACACAGAGGUCCAGUCCCGGGUGGACCAGUUCCCUACACUUCUCAGGAUGCAUGCCCUCAUGUGGCUUUGAGAAUGGCCACUCAAGCUCUGUCUUUGCCACAGACAACCCCCUGUGGCCGCUGAGGCAUUUCCAUAAAUGCCAGCUGUAUGGAGAAGGAACAAACAGGAUAGACCAGGCAGGUCACCUCCACUCCCAGACCCCCUGAGGCAUUCCUGCUUGGUCAGCAGGCCUGGCCACUGGCAGGCCUUGGAGAUGUGAGGCAAAUGAGAGAACG